rnacentral:rRNA from 1 species
GAGGAAAAGAAAAUAACAAUGAUUUCCCUAGUAACGGCGAGUGAACAGGAAAGAGCUCAAAGUUGGAACCUGUUUGGUUUAGCCAAACCGGAUUGUAAACUGUAGAAGUGUUUUCCUGACACGCCUGACGAAAAAGUCCAUUGGAACAUGGUGACAUAGAGGGUGAGAGCCCCGUAUUUUGUCAGAGCUGUUGUCUCUUGUGAUACACUUUCAAAGAGUCAGGUUGUUUGGGAAUGCAGCCUAAAUUGGGUGGUAAAUCUCACCUAAAGCUAAAUAUUGGCAAAAGACCGAUAGCGAACAAGUACCGUGAGGGAAAGAUGAAAAGAACUUUGAAAAGAGAGUUAAACAGUAUGUGAAAUUGUUAAAAGGGAACCGUUUGGAGCCAGACUGGCUUGAUUGUAAUCAAUCUAGAUCUCGAUCUGGAUGCACUUGCAGUCUAUGCCUGCCAACGACAAUUCAUUCUGGAGGAAAAAACUAAGUGGAAUGUGGCCCCUCGGGGUGUUAUAGACUCUUAGAAAAUACUCUGGUUUGGAUUGAGGAACGCAGUGAAUGCUAUUUGGCGAAGAUGCUGGGUGCUUUUAUUUUUGUUGUCUAGAAUUUCUGCUUCGGGUGGUGCUAGAUACCACGAGUAAAACUCGCCUAGUAUACUUUUUAUUCACUUAGGUUGUUGGCUUAAUGACUCUAAAUGACCCG